rnacentral:rRNA from 1 species
UACGGAAGGCAGCAGUGGGGAAUAUUGCACAAUGGGCGUAAGCCUGAUGCAGCCAUGCCGCGUGUAUGAAGAAGGCCUUCGGGUUGUAAAGUACUUUCAGUCGUGAGGAAGGUGUUAAGGUUAAUAACCUUAGCAAUUGACGUUAGCGACAGAAGAAGCACCGGCUAACUCCGUGCCAGCAGCCGCGGUAAUACGGAGGGUGCGAGCGUUAAUCGGAAUUACUGGGCGUAAAGGGCACGCAGGCGGUUAAUUAAGUUGGAUGUGAAAUCCCCGGGCUUAACCUGGGAAUGGCAUUCAAGACUGGUUAGCUAGAGUCUUGUAGAGGGGGGUUAGAAUUCCAUGUGUAGCGGUGAAAUGCGUAGAGAUGUGGAGGAAUACCGGUGGCGAAGGCGGCCCCUGGACAAAGACUGACGCUCAUGUGCGAAAGCGUGGGGAGCAAACAGGGAUUAGAUACCC